AUUGAACGCUGGCGGCAGGCCUAACACAUGCAAGUCGAACGAGAGGCGGACGGGUGAGUAAUGUAUGGGGACUGCCCGAUAGAGGGGGAUAACUACUGGAAACGGUAGCUCAUACCGCAUACUCUCGCAUUGCCCAUAUGGGAUUAGCUAGUAGGUGGGGUAAUGGCUCACCUAGGCGACGAUCCCUAGCUGGUCUGAGAGGAUGAUCAGCCACACUGGAACUGAGACACGGCCCAGACUCCUACGGAGGCAGCAGUGGGGAAUAUUGCACAAUGGGCGCAAGCCUGAUGCAGCCAUGCCGCGUGUAUGAAGAAGGCCCUAGGGUUGUAAAGUACUUUCAGUCGGGAGGCGUUACCGACAGAAGAAGCACCGGCUAACUCCGUGCCAGCAGCCGCGGUAAUUC
rnacentral:rRNA from 1 species